rnacentral:ncRNA from 2 species
UUUCUAUCCAGAGAGGUGGAGGGACUGGCCCUGCGAAACCUCGGCAACAUGUAAAUGUGCCAAUUCCAGCAAGCGAGGCUUGAAAGAUAGAAA